UGGGGAAUAUUGGGCAAUGGGCGAAAGCCUGACCCAGCAACGCCGCGUGAGGGAAGAAGGUUUUCGGAUUGUAAACCUCUGUCCUUGGGGACGAAGGAAGUGACGGUACCCAAGGAGGAAGCCCCGGCUAACUACGUGCCAGCAGCCGCGGUAAUACGUAGGGGGCGAGCGUUGUCCGGAAUGACUGGGCGUAAAGGGCGUGUAGGCGGCUCUUUAAGUCUGGAGUGAAAGUCCUGCUUUCAAGGUGGGAAUUGCUUUGGAGACUGGAGAGCUUGAGUGCGGAAGAGGUAAGUGGAAUUCCCAGUGUAGCGGUGAAAUGCGUAGAGAUUGGGAGGAACACCAGUGGCGAAGGCGACUUACUGGGCCGUAACUGACGCUGAGGCGCGAAAGCGUGGGGAGCGAACAGG
rnacentral:rRNA from 1 species